AAGAGCACCAAACCACCAAAGGGUGUUAUUAAGUAUCCUGGCAGUACUAAUGUGAAGAACAAUGCCAUGGCUGCUAACAUUGCUCAAGAAGAUCAAGCAAUAAAGAAGCAAAAACUUGAUGGUGGUAGAUCAAGACGGAUACUCAAUGUGAAUACUAGAGUACUCCUUCACAAGUCAAAACCAGAUCCAGGUUGUGGCACAAAUGUAUUUGCUUCACACAAGG